UGGUUGCAUAAAGAUACUACGAAC
rnacentral:siRNA from 1 species